CCUACGGGUGGCAGCAGUGAGGAAUAUUGGUCAAUGGCCGGAAGGCUGAACCAGCCAUGCCGCGUGAAGGUCAGUGCCCUAUGGGCGUUAAACUUCUUUUGUGCGGGAGCAAUAAUGGUCACGUGUGGCCAUACGAGAGUACCUUACGAAUAAGCAUCGGCUAACUCCGGGCCAGCAGCCGCGGUAAUACGGGGGGUGCAAGCGUUUUCCGGAUUUUUUGGGUUUAAAGGGUGCGUAGGCUGUGAGGUAAGUCAGCGGGGAAAUGCCCCCGCUCAAAGGGGUGAAGUGCAAUUGAUACUGCCUUGCUGGAGUGCGGAUGCGGUAGGAGGAAUGUGUGGUGUAGCGGUGAAAUGCAUAGAUAUCACACAGAACACCGAUUGCGAAGGCAGCUCACGAAUCCGCGAUUGACGCUGAUGCACGAAAGCGUGGGUAUCAAACAGGAUUAGAUACCCGGGUAGUC
rnacentral:rRNA from 1 species